CCUACGGGAGGCAGCCGUGGGGAAUAUUGGACAAUGGGGGCAACCCUGAUCCAGCCAUGCCGCGUGAGUGAUGACGGCCUUAGGGUUGUAAAGCUCUUUUCUCCGGGACGAUAAUGACGGUACCGGAGGAAUAAGCCCCGGCUAACUUCGUGCCAGCAGCCGCGGUAAUACGAAGGGGGCUAGCGUUGCUCGGAAUCACUGGGCGUAAAGGGCGCGUAGGCGGCUGACUUAGUCGAGGGUGAAAGCCCGUGGCUCAACCACGGAAUGGCCUUCGAUACUGGUUGGCUUGAGACCGGAAGAGGACAGCGGAACUGCGAGUGUAGAGGUGAAAUUCGUAGAUAUUCGCAAGAACACCAGUGGCGAAGGCGGCUGUCUGGUCCGGUUCUGACGCUGAGGCGCGAAAGCGUGGGGAGCAAACAGGAUUAGAUACCCUGGUAGUCCACGCUGUAAACGAUGAAUGCUAGCCGUUGGUCUGCAUGCAGGUCAGUGGCGCCGCUAACGCAUUAAGCAUUCCGCCUGGGGAGUACGGUCGCAAGAUUAAAACUUAAGGAAUUGACGG
rnacentral:rRNA from 1 species